rnacentral:miRNA from 1 species
UUUAUGACGGUGACGUUCUAC